rnacentral:rRNA from 1 species
CGAAUGCUGACAUAAGUAACGAUAAAGCGGGUGAAAAGCCCGCUCGCCGGAAGACCAAGGGUUCCUGUCCAACGUUAAUCGGGGCAGGGUGAGUCGACCCCUAAGGCGAGGCCGAAAGGCGUAGUCGAUGGGAAACAGGUUAAUAUUCCUGUACUUGGUGUUACUGCGAAGGGGGGACGGAGAAGGCUAUGUUGGCCGGGCGACGGUUGUCCCGGUUUAAGCGUGUAGGCUGGUUUUCCAGGCAAAUCCGGAAAAUCAAGGCUGAGGCGUGAUGACGAGGCACUACGGUGCUGAAGCAACAAAUGCCCUGCUUCCAGGAAAAGCCUCUAAGCAUCAGGUAACAUCAAAUCGUACCCCAAACCGACACAGGUGGUCAGGUAGAGAAUACCAAGGCGCUUGAGAGAACUCGGGUGAAGGAACUAGGCAAAAUGGUGCCGUAACUUCGGGAGAAGGCACGCUGAUAUGUAGGUGAAGUCCCUCGCGGAUGGAGCUGAAAUCAGUCGAAGAUACCAGCUGGCUGCAACUGUUUAUUAAAAACACAGCACUGUGCAAACACGAAAGUGGACGUAUACGGUGUGACGCCUGCCCGGUGCCGGAAGGUUAAUUGAUGGGGUUAGCGCAAGCGAAGCUCUUGAUCGAAGCCCCGGUAAACGGCGGCCGUAACUAUAACGGUCCUAAGGUAGCGAAAUUCCUUGUCGGGUAAGUUCCGACCUGCACGAAUGGCGUAAUGAUGGCCAGGCUGUCUCCACCCGAGACUCAGUGAAAUUGAACUCGCUGUGAAGAUGCAGUGUACCCGCGGCAAGACGGAAAGACCCCGUGAACCUUUACUAUAGCUUGACACUGAACAUUGAGCCUUGAUGUGUAGGAUAGGUGGGAGGCUUUGAAGUGUGGACGCCAGUCUGCAUGGAGCCGACCUUGAAAUACCACCCUUUAAUGUUUGAUGUUCUAACGUUGACCCGUAAUCCGGGUUGCGGACAGUGUCUGGUGGGUAGUUUGACUGGGGCGGUCUCCUCCUAAAGAGUAACGGAGGAGCACGAAGGUUGGCUAAUCCUGGUCGGACAUCAGGAGGU